AUUGAACGCUGGCGGCAGGCUUAACACAUGCAAGUCUAGCGAGCGGCGGACUGGUGAGUAAUGUCUGGGAAACUGCCUGAUGGCGGGGGAUAAAUACUGGAAACUGUAGCUAAUACCGCAUACCAUCCUAUGUUCCCAGAGGGGAUUCGCUAGUAGGUGGGGUAAUGGCUCCCCUAGGCGACGAGCCCUAGCUGGUCUGAGAGGAUGACAAGCCACACGGGAACUGAGACACGGUCCAGACUCCUACGGGAGGCAGCAGUGGGGAAUAGUGCACAAUGGGCGCAAGCCUGAUGCAGCCAUGCCGCGUGUGUGAAGAAGGCCUUCGGGUUGUAAAGCACUUUCAGCGAGGAGGCGUUACUCGCAGAAGAAGCACCGGCUAACUCCGUGCCAGCAGCCGCGGGAAUUC
rnacentral:rRNA from 1 species